rnacentral:rRNA from 1 species
CCUACGGGCGGCAGCAGUGAGGAAUAUUGGUCAAUGGGCGCGAGCCUGAACCAGCCAAGUAGCGUGAAGGAUGACUGCCCUAUGGGUUGUAAACUUCUUUUAUAUGGGAAUAAAGUGCAGUAUGUAUACUGCUUUGCAUGUACCUUAUGAAUAAGGAUCGGCUAACUCCGUGCCAGCAGCCGCGGUAAUACGGAGGAUCCGAGCGUUAUCCGGAUUUAUUGGGUUUAAAGGGAGCGUAGGCGGGUUGUUAAGUCAGUUGUGAAAGUUUGCGGCUCAACCGUAAAAUUGCAGUGGAUACUGGCAUCUUUGAGGACAGUAGAGGAAGGCGGAAUCCGUGGUGUAGCGGUGAAAGGCUUAGAUCUCACGAAGAACCCCGAUUGCGAAGGCAGCCUGCUGGACUGUAACUGACGCGGAUGCUCGAAAGUGUGGGUAUCAAACAGGAUUAGAUACCCGAGUAGUC